rnacentral:rRNA from 1 species
AUGUUGCGGGCGGCGGCGUCAAGGUGCGCCGGCGGCGCCAUCCGGCGGCUGUCGGUGGCUUCGUACCCAGAAGCGGUAGGCGCGCGGAGGAAGCCUCCCCUGGAUGAGGGGGACUGGUCCUACUACAAGGAGUGGUGGGGCGAGGACGACGGCCCCGGCGUUGGAGCUCACACCGUCUUCUGCCGCCACUCCGAGCAUGGCAAUGGCGUCGUCUCCGUCGUCGCCUACCCAGCCACCCGACCGGCCAGCGAUCAGUGGCCAGUGACGGAGAGAUGGCUUCAGGAAAGAAAUUCGGCAAUGUACCCAGAAUCAAGUGGUGCUGACCAGUUUAAGAUACUAGGCUACCAGUGGCGAGUAAUGCGCUUUAACGACCAUACACGGCAAAGUACUGCAAAAGUAAUGGCGUGUUACCGGUCUGGGGGUGAUAGAGCAUUAUACUCAAUGCAGCAACCCAAUUGUUUAGCUGUUCCUUAUGUCAAGAGCAUGGUAUCAGCAGGGUUGACAGCACUCCCUAGUUGUUCUUAUGAUCUCCCUCAAGCAGUUUCUGAGCCGAACACUAUGAAAAUUCUUUGUAUCGGUCAUGGUGGCGGCAGCAUACCAUUGUUUUUGGCUAGUAAAUUCAAAGGUGCUGAUGUCCACAUUGUGGAGAUCGAUCCAGUCGUCGUCUCAGCCUCGGUCGAAUCCAUGGGCUUCCCUGCAUCAUGCGCGAAAGGGUUAUCAGCCCACACCAUGCAGCCCGCCGACGGCGACGAGCUACUAUGGAACGGCGUCCACGACCGCAUCUCCCUCCACAUAGAAGACGCGGAGGACUUCAUCGCCGGCGACAGCAACGUCUACGACCUGGUCUUCAUCGACGCGUACGACGGGAACGACAUAUUCCCCCGCAAGCUCUGGGACGCCGACGGGGCGUUCCUGAGGAACCUGGAGGAGAAGGUUCACCCGGUCCACGGCACCGUGGUGGUGAACCUGCACUCGGACUCGGGGCCGUCAUCCCCCGACGUCGACGACGAGGCCCCCUUCGAGAACGUGCUCCCCAUGGGCAGGUCCAAGCAACGCGGUUCUUGUGCUAUUAAUAAAAUCGAUCAGGCCACGAGACGAGAGGUGAGAUCUCGACUUGGGAACUCUCACAAGAAGACGCCCAGACGAGAGGAGAGGAUGCUGCUGAGGAGCUCCUCCACGCCAUUCCUGCGCUCCUUCCUCUCCUCCCCUUCGCCCCCUUCCUCCCUCCAGCUCCGGCGGGCCUUCUCCGACGGCCACCUCCCUUCGCUCAACCCCUCCUCCUCCGGCGACAACGACAGCAACAGAACCACCGGCCUCCACACCGAGCUCUCCUUCUCCAUCUACAACACCUUCAGCAAAGCCAAGCUGGAGCCCCACCAGGAGCAGGAGAUGGAGGAGGAGCAGGAGCAGACGGCGCAGCCUGAGCUGCCGGAGCUGCCGCUGUUCCUGGCGAGGGGCAUGGGCAUCGACCGCCUCGCCUCCGGCCUCUUCACCGCCGGCAUGGGCUCCGAGGCUGCCCUGGCUAGGAUGGCCAGCGGGGUGGACCAGAAGGCGGUGCUGGCGCUGGACGCCCAGUACAAGGAGAUGGUCGACGAGCAGCCCGGCAACGCCCUGUUCCUGCGCAACUACGCGCAGUUCCUGCACGAGGUGAAGUGCGACCCGAGAAGGGCGGAGGAGUACUACUCGCGCGCCAUGCUCGCCGACCCGACCGACGGCGAGAUCAUGUCGCAGUACGCCAAGCUGGUGUGGGCGGUGCACCGCGACCACGAGAGGUCCCUCACCUACUUCCAGAAGUCGGUGCAGGCAGCCCCGCGGGACAGCCACGUCCUCGCGGCGUACGCCAGCUUCCUGUGGGAGCAGGACGAGGACGACGACAACGAUGAUGGUGGUGUUGGGGGAGGCGAGCAGGGAGCACCCGGGCGUGCUGCGCAGCCGAGGCAGCUGUCUUCCGCGGCCGUUUGA